rnacentral:rRNA from 1 species
ACGUAGGAGGCGAGCGUUGUCCGGAUUUACUGGGUAUAAAGGGUCAGCAGGCGGAUUGACAAGUCGAUGGUGAAAUCAUUCAGAUUAACUGAAGAGCUGCCGUCGAUACUGUUGAUCUUGAAUACAGGAGAGGGUAACGGAGUUCCAGGUGUACCGGUGAAAGGCUUAGAUAUCUGGAACAACACCCGUAGCGUUCACUGUUGCCUGGCCUGGUAUUGACGCUCAUGGACUAAAGUGUGGGCAUCAAACUG